CCUCAUCACUGAUUUGUCCAGAGCUGGCUCUAAUCUCGCCACUUCCAUACUAUUCUUCUGAGGAAUUCCAGCUGCUGCCUACCAUUGCUGGAGUGUCUAAGGAAUCUGGGAGACUGAGGAUAUUUAUGCCCAAAGAAAUGCCAAGCGGCCAUGUCUAAUCUCUUCCUCCCCAUGCCAUGCUGGUCUUGAGGGGAUUCUGCAAGUCUUGCCAACUCCCCAGGCUUCACUCUAGCAGGAAGACACAACUACUCCUGAAGCAUCCUCUGACCUACCUGGGGGUUCCAUCAUUAAGUGACCCCAACCUGGAGCAAUUGGCAGGAACUCAAGGAAUAAGAGCACACAUUGCCCCCAUUCCUCCUGGUUGCCACCUUACAACCAUGAAAGAAAGUUUUAGGAGGAAGGCAAAGCUGAGGACAGCAGCACAGAGAUGAAGAGCCCAGGGACUUGAGUCAAUAAGUGUUCCGUCAUUCCAUGCCUGGAAUCCUGACCCAAUUCUCCAUGACUUGUGAUGGGAGACAGUGCCUCUCCCUACGGAUGAAGCCAGCUGGAGCUAAGGUUCCUCUUGCCUGCGGAUCAAAGUUCCUACUGAUUUCAAAUACUUUGAGGAGUCCCAGAGGAGCUGGAUACCCUACAUGAUGCCAGUCGAUCCAGAGAUGGGGGAGAAGACCAGGUGGCACAGGGCCCCUGGUUCGGGCAAUCUGGGACUUCCUUCACACCAUUCGCCAGCAAUUUCUGCUGUUCUGCUUCUAAUUGUUGACUCUCCUUUUGGAAGAACACGGCCAAAGAGUCUAGGUCCUCGAGCAGCUAAGAUCGUCUGCAGUUAAAACUUUCCACGCACAUGGUUAUGGCCAGGUCUGGAAGAGGCUGGACGUGUGAAAUCCCCUGAUGAGCGUACACUGAGGACCCACCGGUGGAGGGCAGCGUCACCAAACAGAGAAGCAGCUCAGCAAAGCUCACAGUGCACUGUCACUUUGGUUGUUCUUGAAGGACUGGUCAAGCAAGUAAUCAGGAAAUCUCCUCUCACAACUCAGCUCUUCCACCAGCUGGCUAGCUAUGAGUAAUCUUGAGCAAGUAACAUUCCCUAUAUGGGCCUCAGUUUCCUCUUCAACUUUGUGAUUUCAUGGCAAAAAUGAGAAGUGAUCGGCAGGUCUUAGACUGAACCCGGGAACAUUCUGGGGAUACAGACCAAGGUGAGACAAACAGGAGGCUGAAAGAGGAGAAUUUCAUUUGAAGUUUUUUCCUUCCUUAUCCCAGUGGGCUCACAUUCAGGCUGUUCCCUCAGACUCCAGCCAGAUUUGUCCUUUUUUUCUAGGGAAGGAACUAUGGGGACCAUGCAAGAGACUUCCCCCUGCUAUCUCAGCAGGAUGUACUUGCACAUGUGAUAGACCUUAGGACUCCCUUUAGAUGCAUAAUAAAAUAGGCUUCUAGGAGAGGGACUCACUCAGCUGCGGGGAGCAGCCCUACAUUGAAGGGAAUGAGGAGCAGUGACUCAGCUGACAGUUGUGCUUGCUACAUGUUGCAAACCACCCCAUAUUCCCAAAUAAGAUCCCCCAAGUUCUCCAUGUGUCUAGACUCGUUUAACCCUUAAGGCAGAUCUGCCAGAGAGAGAGGUCAACUUAUACGCACACACGUGUGGCCAUACCAGUUGUUGAAAUAUUGAAAUACAUCCAUGACGGUUGUAAACAGCCUCUCCUCUCAGCUCCCUGAGCACCUUGCCCCCAGGUUUCCAGGUCCCAGCAAAUACUGUAACUUGGCAUUAAGCACUGCUUCUAGAAACCAACUCCAGAGCUUAUAACAUCUAUUGUUAGUGUCUUGCUAGAAUAUUUUGAAUAUUGUCUUUGAUGCACAGUGCAUAUAGUGCACAGAUUAUAUAGAUCAGAGGUCUACAACAAUGUUUGGUUGCUAACCCCUAAAAGCAAUAAGUGGAUAAAUAAAAUAUGGUAUAUCCACAAUGGAAGACUAUUCAGCCAUAAACAGGAAUGAAGUACAACACAGGUGAACCUUGAAAACAUUAUGAUGAGUGAAAAAAAGCCAGACACAAAAGCUACACUAGUAUAAUCCCGUUUACAUAAAAUAUCAAGAACAGUAAAAUCUGUAGAGAUAAAAAAAGUAGGAGGCCACCAGGGGCUGGGAGGAGUGGGGUUUCUUUUUGGGGUAAUGAAAACGUUCCAAAGUUGACCUUGGUAAUCAAUGUACAACUCUGAAUAUACUAAAAGUCAUUGAAUUGUAUAUUCUAAAUGGAUGAAUUGUAUGAUAUGUGAAUUAAAGCUGUUUUAAUAACUUUAGGAUACAUCCUCCAUAAAUCUUUACUGGAUUUAAAAUUAUACAUACAUGCACACACAUAUAUCAUUGCAUUAACAUACAUACUCUAACACAAAUAUAGAAACUAGACUUUUACAGGCUGAGAUGAAAAUUAAAUAGAAAUUUUACAUAUACCACAUCUUCUUUAUCCAUCCAUCUAUUGAUAGACACUUGGGCUGCUUCCGUAAGUUUGGCU